rnacentral:rRNA from 1 species
GAUGAACGCUGCCAGAAUGCUUAACACGUGCAAGUCUACUUGAAUUUGGGUUUUUUAACUUAGAUUUGGGUGGCGGACGGGUGAGUAACGCGUAAAGAACUUGCCUCACAGCUAGGGACAACAUUUGGAAACGAAUGCUAAUACCUGAUAUUAUGAUUAUAAGGCAUCUUAGAAUUAUGAAAGCUAUAUGCGCUGUGAGAGAGCUUUGCGUCCCAUUAGCUAGUUGGAGAGGUAACGGCUCACCAAGGCGAUGAUGGGUAGCCGGCCUGAGAGGGUGAACGGCCACAAGGGGACUGAGACACGGCCCUUACUCCUACGGGAGGCAGCAGUGGGGAAUAUUGGACAAUGGACCAAGAGUCUGAUCCAGCAAUUCUGUGUGCACGAUGACGUUUUUCGGAAUGUAAAGUGCUUUCAGUUGGGAAGAAAAAAAUGACGGUACCAACAGAAGAAGUGACGGCUAAAUACGUG